rnacentral:rRNA from 1 species
UACAGGGGGUGCAAACGUUGCUCGGAAUUAUUGGGCGUAAAGGGUUCGUAGGUGGCUCGCUAAGUCAGACGUGAAAUCCCUCAGCUUAACUGGGGAACUGCGUCUGAUACUGAUGAGCUUGAGUGCAGGAGAGGAACGCGGAAUUCCAGGUGUAGCGGUGAAAUGCGUAGAUAUCUGGAGGAACACCGGUGGCGAAGGCGGCGUUCUGGACUGUAACUGACACUGAACAACGAAAAGCCAGGGGAGCAAACGGG